UACGAAGGGGGCUAGCGUUGCUCGGAAUCACUGGGCGUAAAGCGCACGUAGGCGGAUCUUUAAGUCAGGGGUGAAAUCCCAAGGCUCAACCUUGGAACUGCCUUUGAUACUGGGGAUCUCGAGUCCGGAAGAGGUGAGUGGAACUGCGAGUGUAGAGGUGAAAUUCGUAGAUAUUCGCAAGAACACCAGUGGCGAAGGCGGCUCACUGGACUGGUAUUGACGCUGAGGUGCGAAAGCGUGGGGAGCAAACAGG
rnacentral:rRNA from 1 species